rnacentral:misc_RNA from 1 species
AAGUCGUAACAAGGUUUCCGUAGGUGAACCUGCGGAAGGAUCAUUAACACUCUUUUUUCAAUGAAAGAGCUCAUUUUUUGAUAUCUUUGUUUUUUCUUUUGAGAAACUUGGAUUCAAAUUAUGGGUAUUCACCCCCUUAUAUUGACGAACGAAGAAAAACAUUGAUUUUGUUUCAAAAGCAAAAUUCAUAUUUUUCUAUCUUUUUUCUCUAUACCCUAUAUUUUUCAAAACCCCUUUUUUUACAAUAUGUCUUAGACUGAAAUGAAAAAUUAAGAUAAAUUAAAAAACAACUCUUAACAACGGAUAUCUUGGUUCUC